rnacentral:rRNA from 1 species
GACGAACGCUGGCGGCGUGCUUAACACAUGCAAGUCGAACGGAAAGGCCCUGCUUUUGUGGGGUGCUCGAGUGGCGAACGGGUGAGUAACACGUGAGUAACCUGCCCUUGACUUUGGGAUAACUUCAGGAAACUGGGGCUAAUACCGGAUAGGAGCUCCUGCUGCAUGGUGGGGGUUGGAAAGUUUCGGCGGUUGGGGAUGGACUCGCGGCUUAUCAGCUUGUUGGUGGGGUAGUGGCUUACCAAGGCUUUGACGGGUAGCCGGCCUGAGAGGGUGACCGGCCACAUUGGGACUGAGAUACGGCGCAGACUCCUACGGGAGGCAGCAGUGGGGAAUAUUGCACAAUGGGCGGAAGCCUGAGGCAGCAACGCCGCGGGCGGGAUGACGGCCUUCGGGUUGUAAACCGCUUUCGCCUGUGACGAAGCGUGAGUGACGGUAAUGGGUAAAGAAGCACCGGCUAACUACGUG